rnacentral:rRNA from 1 species
UACGGAGGAUGCGAGCGUUAUCCGGAUUUAUUGGGUUUAAAGGGUGCGUAGACGGACUGUCAAGUCAGCGGUAAAAUUGAGAGGCUCAACCUCUUCCCGCCGUCGAAACUGGUGGUCUUGAGUGGAUGAGAAGUACGCGGAAUGCGUGGUGUAGCGGUGAAAUGCAUAGAUAUCACGCAGAACUCCGAUUGCGAAGGCAGCGUACCGGCAUCCAACUGACGCUGAGGCACGAAAGCGUGGGGAUCAAACAGG